CUAACAGCUCUGAAGACUGAAGUCCUCAUUAAUCCACAGAGCAGAUUCAGCAUGGGCAAUGACAGUGCAAAUAUCCUCAUACUGCGUCAGUUCUUCACACCUGACCUACAGUGAACAGUUGACUAGAUCUCCAUGUCCAUUUAAUCUUUGGCCUCU
ensembl:misc_RNA